AUCAUUCCCCAAUUGCUGUUCCGCCUUACAGGGUGACACCAGCCAAGAAAAAGCUCAUGCAGAUGGAACUCGAUAAGAUGUUAGCGGACGAUAUUGUAGAAGAAUGCGAGUCGGCCUGGGGUUCUCCAGCACUUCUUGUACCCAAGGCGAACGACUCCUGUGCUCAACCAGAGAGGUGAAGUUUUGGCAAUAGACUUGUUCGGCCCACUCCCUCGAGGAGAAAAUGGGGAAAAAUGGAUCUUGUUGGUGGAAGACACAGCAACUCGCUGGGUUGAACUGUUUGCUUUAAAAGAUGCAACGUCAGAAGCAUGUGCCCGUAC
rnacentral:misc_RNA from 1 species